UACGAAGGGGGCUAGCGUUGUUCGGAAUUACUGGGCGUAAAGCGCACGUAGGCGGAUUUGCCAGUCAGGGGUGAAAUCCCGGGGCUCAACCUCGGAACUGCCUCUGAUACAGCAAGUCUUGAGUCCGGAAGGGGUGGGUGGAAUUCCUAGUGUAGAGGUGAAAUUCGUAGAUAUUAGGAAGAACACCAGUGGCGAAGGCGGCCCACUGGUCCGGUACUGACGCUGAGGUGCGAAAGCGUGGGGAGCAAACAGG
rnacentral:rRNA from 1 species